UACGAAGGGGGCUAGCGUUGUUCGGAUUUACUGGGCGUAAAGCGCACGUAGGCGGAUCGUUAAGUUAGGGGUGAAAUCCUGGAGCUCAACUCCAGAACUGCCUCUAAUACUGGCGAUCUAGAGUCCGGAAGAGGUGAGUGGAACUCCUAGUGUAGAGGUGGAAUUCGUAGAUAUUAGGAAGAACACCAGUGGCGAAGGCGGCUCACUGGUCCGGUAC
rnacentral:rRNA from 1 species